rnacentral:ncRNA from 1 species
AUGGUAAUCCUGCUUAGUACGAGAGGAACGCAGGUUCAGACAUUUGGUUUAUGUGCUUGGUCGAAAGACCAAUGGUGCGAAGCUACCAUCUGAGGGAUUAAGACUGAAAGCCUCUUAAGUCUGAAUCCCGCCCAGAAAUGCAACGAUACUAUCGGUGCCCCUACGCCGGGAGGCAACGAUAUACUCGGCCCGAAAUCCGAUUUCGGCGGCCGAGACUGGCUAAAGCCACUGCGAUACUGGCCACACCCGCUGUCUUGAAAUUUGGCAGUGGAGGCACAGACACGAUACCACUUGAUUGAGACGUAGGGGUUCUAUAUCGUUUGUAGACGACUUAGAUCUCGGUCGGGGGUGCCGUACUUAGUUGAGCAGUUCUUCACUGCGAUCUAUUGAGGCUAAGCCUUUUGACGGGGAGAUAUGU